rnacentral:rRNA from 1 species
GGUUGAUCCUGCCAGUAGUCAUAUGCUUGUCUCAAAGAUUAAGCCAUGCAUGUCUAAGUAUAGUCCCUUAUACUGCGAAACUGCGAAUGGCUCAUUAAAUCAGUUAUAAUUUAUUUGAUGGUACUUACUACUCGGAUAACCGUAGUAAUUCUAGAGCUAAUACGUGCGCAAAUCCCGACUUCUGGAAGGGACGUAUUUAUUAGAUAAAAGGCCAGCCGGGCUUUGCCCGACCUGCGUUGAUUCAUAAUAACCAUACGAAUCGCAUGGCCUCGUGCCGGCGAUGUUUCAAAUAA